AUUGAACGCUGGCGGCAGGCCUUACACAUGCAAGUCGAACGGUAUCAGGCUGCUUGCUCCUGACGUGUGGGGAGGGGGGGAGUGUUGAGCCGGAAAGUGCGCAGACGUGUGGGAGACCAACUCGAGAGAGGGGCUAAAAUACCAUACGCACUAUGAGUGAAAGCGGGGGACAGGAACGCUUCGCGGGAUAGCAGGGGAGGAUGGCGGAUUAGGUAGUUGGUGGGGUGAAGGCGCACCACGCCAACGAGCUGUAGCAGGUCUGAGAGGAGGACCAGCCACACUAGGACUGAGGCACGGCCCAGACUCCUACGGGAGGCAGCAGUGGGGAAUUUUGGACAAUGGGCGCAAGCCUGAUCCAGCCAUGCCGCGUGCGUGAAGAAGGUCUUCGGAUUGUAAACUGCUUUAGUGCGGGACGAAACGCCUCUGGUUAAUACCUUGCUGUAAUGACGGUACCGUAAGAAUAAGCACCGGCUAACUUCGUG
rnacentral:rRNA from 1 species